GCUCCUGAGCUGCUCCUCUGGUUUUUCUGGGCUGGUGCGUGUGUGCGCACGCGCGCACGCGUCCAUGUGUGUCUCUCUGGGAGGCUCAGGGCAAAAGACUCUGGCUUCCCAGGGAGAGCAGGCUUUGGGGGGGCGCCCCCCGGAGCUGUUUUCAGAGCCCCGGCUCCUGUGUGACGUCAGCCGCCCAGCAGCCCGCCCUGUCCUGCUGCCCUUCAGCCUAUAGGGAGGAGAGGUUACUACAAGUCCAGGACCAGCUUGCUUUAGACACACCCAGUGCAAUGCCUGGUUCUGGACCUGGAGUUAAAAACUAAAGGUAGGUUCCAUAUUUUGGCCACAUUUUGCACAUGCGGUUAUUACAGCUUUCCGUGUCCUGAUGCCAAGUGCUCCCUCGUGGCUCCAGAAAUGCAGGUCCCCGCGGUCUCAGCGCCCUGCGGGCUGCAGGGCCGCACGGCCUCGAGCUGACCUGGCCGUGGGGCCGGUGGAGCUCUGGCGCCACCGCGCGGCGGACGCGGAGACUGCGGGCGGGAGUCGGUUGAGCCGGCUGGGGUUUCAGGCUGUUUGCCGGCCAGAGGCCUUCCAGGGCAUUCCGCGGGCAGUGGUCCAGGCAUCUUUGCAGCUGGGUCCUUACACCGACUCCGGCCCUUGAGGGAGAAGGGGCCGCUGAAUGUCGAGUGGCACUGGGGUCCGUCCUGUUGGGUCUGUCUCUGUAAAGUGUGCAGGAAACCCACGAGUGAGCCGGACGCCCUUCGCCCGCUGCGCUGGCCCAUCCGUCUCCAGACCCAGGAGCACCUGUGCGGGUGGCCGAGGCCAGCCAGACUCAAGCGUGAGCAGUAGCAAACGUGCAUGACAGAGGUGUUCGUGACCAUCUGAAAGGGUUCCUGUGAUCAUUGCAAGAGGCUCACCCUCACCUCUGAGUCCCUGAGUCCACCUUCCCUGGACACUGGCUCACAGCGCCACCAGAGACGCGCCUCCAGGUUGCUCUCAGCUCCGUCGGUCUCCUGGGAACGUUCGCUACCUGCUCCCGCAUCCACGGGCUUCGGGAGGAGGCUGCCAGACCACAGAGCUCUUGCCCUUCCGAAAGGAGAGAGAAAAUGGGGCUUUCCUGCCUUCCUCUGAUUUCAUGAAGAACCGACUCUGGACAGGUUUCGUCGGCGUGUUGACUCGUGUAGAAUUCAUGAUACACGUAUAGGGUUCAGCCGUAUUCAGUGCAGACGUUCAGCACUCCCUGCCUCAGCUCCGCCCUCCUGGGCUCACAGACCUGAGAGCUGCUGGGGGAGCGGGGGUCAGACGCAGCCCGCGAGAGACCCCGGCAGACCCCCCGGUGGACACGGUGUCCAGGGCACAGGCUGCAUGGCCGCAAGGAAGCUCGCGGCCGCCAGCCCUGCCCUGGCAGCACCGUCUUUACUGGCCUGAUGGUCGCCUCUGUGCCUGCACCUUGCUUUUCGCUUUCUUUUGAAGACAGUGACACAAAAGCAUUUAAAAAAUCGUAUCUACACACACACACACACACACACGCACACACAGACUUGGAUUCAGCCACACACACUUUGUGGCUCUCAGCGACUGAGCGGGGUCUGGGCACAGCAGGAAUGAAGAGCUGUCAAGUCGGGGGUCGUCCCCUUGUUCCUGUAGCUGGACCCUGGACCCCAGGAAUCAGCCUUUGCCAACUCUCCUCGGGAAGAGAGAAGCCCUCUGCUGCCUCGUCUGCCUCCCCCGGAGAAAGUGCGCGUCCUCUCUGCCGUGCCCACCUUUGCCUCUGGAGGGGCAGAAGCGUGUUUGGCAGGCGGGGAUACAGGGCUGGCAGGGGCACCUACCUGGGGCUUCCUCCCUGGAAGCAAGACUCGGAGGCCGGUUCCUCUGGACAAAGGCGCUGACAGGGCCCAGCACCCUUUGCUCUGGGGCUGAGGUGCACGCAGACACAGGGGGCCACAGGUGCCUCGAGCGCUGUCCACCUGGUGUGAGCAGCCCCGCCAGGCUUCCAGAACCCUCGCCUGAGGGGGAUCUCUCCUCCUGAGGCUGCCGAGUCUGGGGAAGCAGACCCUGAGCCCGUUUCUCUCCAGCUCCUAUGUGUGUUUGAUGAGCCGAGCAGAGAAGCCUUCUGAAUCACUUAUUUCCUCGCAAACCCUGGGCCCCGCUCUCAAAAUCGCCUAAGGAUCUUUUCAUCAGUUCAAAGGAAAAAUGUGCUAUUUCAGACUCGGAACGUGUCUCUUUAUAGCUGUAUGAUCGUCACGUCAUGGAAGAAGCAUUCGGCUCCUGAGAGUAGGGUGCCUGCCCAUAAAGGGCUUUUGGGGGUGACUUUCCACUGGAGGAGCCGGGCUGUAAACUUCUCUUUCUGGACUGAGUCUAGCAGCAUGUUGGUGUUUUUUUUUUUUUUUUCCACCAGAUUGAGCAAAAUUAACCUUGCAGGAGGAG